rnacentral:rRNA from 1 species
UAUCUUCGGAUAUGAGUAGAGCGGCGGACGGGUGAGUAACGCGUAGGAAUCUACCUAAUAGAAGGGGAUAGCCCGAGGAAACUCGGAUUAAUACCGUAUACCUCCUUAGGGAGAAAGAGGGCCUCUCUUGAUGCUCUCGCUAUUAGAUGAGCCUGCGUAAGAUUAGCUUGUUGGUGAGGUAAUGGCUCACCAAGGCUACGAUCUUUAGCUGGUCUGAGAGGACGAUCAGCCACAUUGGGACUGAGACACGGCCCAGACUCCUACGGGAGGCAGCAGUGGGGAAUAUUGGACAAUGGGCGCAAGCCUGAUCCAGCCAUACCGCGUGUGUGAAGAAGGCCUUCGGGUUGUAAAGCACUUUAAGCAGGGAGAAAAAGUUAUAAGUUAAUACCUUAUAACCGUGAUGUUACCUGCAGAAUAAGCACCGGCUAAUUCCGUGCCAGCAGCCGCGGUAAUACGGAAGGUGCAAGCGUUAAUCGGAAUUACUGGGCGUAAAGCGCGCGUAGGUGGUUUGUUAAGUUGGAUGUGAAAGCCCUGGGCUCAACCUAGGAACUGCAUCCAAAACUAACUCACUAGAGUACGAUAGAGGGAGGUAGAAUUCAUAGUGUAGCGGUGGAAUGCGUAGAUAUUAUGAAGAAUACCGGUGGCGAAGGCGGCCUCCUGGAUCUGUACUGACACUGAGGUGCGAAAGCGUGGGUAGCGAACAGGAUUAGAUACCCUGGUAGUCCACGCCGUAAACGAUGACAACUAGCUGUUGGGAGACAAUGUCUUUCAGUGGCGCAGCUAACGUUUUAAGUUGUCCGCCUGGGGAGUACGGCCGCAAGGCUAAAACUCAAAUGAAUUGACGGGGACCCGCACAAGCGGUGGAGCAUGUGGUUUAAUUCGAUGCAACGCGAAAAACCUUACCUACUCUUGACAUACUUGGAAGCUCUUGUAA